GAUGAACGCUGGCGGCACGCUUAACACAUGCAAGUCGAACGAGGUCCAUGGAGCUUGCUCCGGAAGACCUAGUGGCGAACGGGUGCGUAACACGUGAGAAAUCUGCCCCGGACUCUGGAAUAACAGUUGGAAACGACUGCUAAUACCGGAUGCCUUCACAUGACCGCAUGGUCGAGUGAAGAAAGAUUUAUCGGUUUGGGAGGAUCUCGCGGCCUAUCAGCUAGUUGGAGAGGUAACGGCUCACCAAGGCAUCGACGGGUAGCUGGUCUGAGAGGAUGAUCAGCCACACUGGAACUGAGACACGGUCCAGACUCCUACGGGAGGCAGCAGUGGGGAAUCUUGCACAAUGGGCGCAAGCCUGAUGCAGCGAUGCCGCGUGCGGGAAGAAGGCCCUAGGGUUGUAAACCGCUUUCAGUAGGGAAGAAAAUGACGGUACCUACAGAAGAAGGUGCGGCCAACUACG
rnacentral:rRNA from 1 species